rnacentral:misc_RNA from 1 species
GAUGAAGAACGCAGCGAAAUGCGAUAAGUAAUGUGAAUUGCAGAAUUCAGUGAAUCAUCGAAUCUUUGAACGCACCUUGCGCCCUUUGGCUAUUCUGAAGGGCAUGCCUGUUUGAGUAUCAUGAACACCUCAACUCUCAUGGUUUGCCAUGAUGAGCUUGGACUUUGGGGGUCUUGCUGGCCUACGGUCAGCUCCUCUCAAAUGAAUCAGCUUGCCAGUGUUUGGUAGAGUCGCAGGUGUGAUAACUAUCUACGCUUGUGGUUUUCUGCCAGAUAACCUUCAGUGAUGGAGGUUAGCUGGAGCUUAUAAAUGUCUCUCCCCAGUGAGGACAGCUUUUUGAACGUUUGAUCUCAAAUCAGGUAGGACUACCCGCUGAACUUAAGCAUAUCAAUAAGCGGAGGA